CCAAUAGCGUAUAUUAAAGUUGUUGCAGUUAAAAAGCUCGUAGUUGAAUUUCGGGAUCAAUAUGUCGGUCGUGCUUAGGUACGUACUGGCAUCAUUGGUUUCUCCUUUCUGAUGAACCAUGAUGCCAUUAAUUUGGUGUUAUGGGGAAUCAGGACUGUUACUUUGAAAAAAUUAGAGUGUUUAAAGCAGGCUCACGCUUGAAUACAUUAGCAUGGAAUAAUGAAAUAGGACGUUUGAUUCUAUUUUGUUGGUUUCUAGGAUCGACGUAAUGAUUAAUAGGGAUAGUUGGGGGCAUUAGUAUUCAAUUGUCAGAGGUGAAAUUCUUGGAUUUAUUGAAGACUAACUACUGCGAAAGCAUUUGCCAAGGAUGUUUUCAUUAAUCAAGAACGAAAGUUAGGGGAUCGAAGACGAUCAGAUACCGUCGUAGUCUUAACCAUAAACUAUGCCGACUAGGGAUCGGAUGAUGUUAAUUUUUUAAUGACUCAUUCGGCGCCUUACG
rnacentral:rRNA from 1 species